AAGUAGGGGAUCGUAAGACCUUGCGCUUCCUGAGCGGCCGAUGCCUGAUUAGCUAGUUGGUGGGGUAAGGGCCUACCAAGGCAACGAUCAGUAGUUGGUCUGAGAGGACGACCAGCCACACUGGGACUGAGACACGGCCCAGACUCCUACGGGAGGCAGCAGUGGGGAAUUUUGGACAAUGGGCGAAAGCCUGAUCCAGCAAUGCCGCGUGAGUGAAGAAGGCCUUCGGGUUGUAAAGCUCUUUCAGUCGAGAAGAAAAGGUUGUGACUAAUAAUCACAACUUAUGACGGUACCGACAGAAGAAGCACCGGCUAACUACGUGCCAGCAGCCGCGGUAAUACGUAGGGUGCGAGCGUUAAUCGGAAUUACUGGGCGUAAAGGGUGCGCAGGCGGCUUUGUAAGUCAGAUGUGAAAUCCCCGGGCUUAACCUGGGAAUUGCGUUUGAAACUACAAAGCUAGAGU
rnacentral:rRNA from 1 species